AUUAAUAUGGCAAGGAGGUUGGAAUGUAGCCUUUGGGGCAUUUUGAAGAAAUGGCUUUUUAGCCCAGAAAGAAGAUAAAUCUGAGAGAUUUGAGAGCUACCUUCCAAUAACUGAUGCAUCAUAUGAGAGAGUGCCUGUUUCAACCUAAGUACUACCACAGGAUUCUGAGAAGCACUCCCCACAGAAAUUGACACAUACCCCAUAGAUAGAAAUUGACACAACUUUUCUAGAGAACCACAUGGCCCUCAAUGUUAAGGCCAUUAAGAAUUCCCACAUCCUUUGGCCAGGACUUCUAAUGGAAUUUAUCUCAAAGAAGUAAUUAGAAUGUGGCAAAGAUUUUCCUACAGUGAUAUUUACAGCAGUGUUGUUUAUAAUAUUGAAAAAUUAGAAACAGCCUAGGUAUCCAAAACUAAGAAUACCUUACACACAUUGCAAUAUAUCCAUGCCACAGAAAAUUUGGUGACCAUUAAAAAUAUUUAAUAUGUUUUCAAAGACUUUAAUGAUAUGAGAAAUGUCAGAAUGUCAGUGAAAAGAACAAGCUGCAUACAAAAUCUACAGUCAAUGUGAUUCCAAUUUUGUAAAACAUAUGCCAGCCCACACAUGCACAAAUAGGAAGAAAUAUACCAAAAUGCUAACAGUGCUCAUCACUGCAGGUUAUAUUUAUUGGGGAUGUUUUCCAGAUUAUUUUUUCUAUAUUUUUCAAAUUUUCUGCAAUGCAUAUGUGUCAUCUUUAUAAUCGGAGAAAAGUACUAAACAUAUUUGAAGAGCAGUUAUAUGCUGAAUGAGUGAUAGAUUCAGGGAUGACUUGAAGCUGGAACUGCUCAAGAACAGCUUCCCAAUGAGGUGUGACCUUCUCUCUGGGAGUGUCCAGGUCUGCACUGGGUGGGGGGGUUGAACAAGAGAGAGGCUAAGUGUGAGAAAGGAUGGGAUGAAAAGGAAAAUGACUUUUACUGAGCAUCUGCUACAGAUUGGUUUCUAUGCUGCAAAGCUGAGAUUAAAAAUCAAAAUAAGUUCUGCAAUGAACUAAAGCUGGUAAGAGUUGGAGCUGAGACCCGAAUCCAGGACUUCCUGGCUCUGGAGCACAAAUUUGAAGCAGCCUUCUUCACCUGCAGGAGCCAGGCCUGCAUCAGUCACCUGUUUAUAAGGCCAGCAAGUCUGAUCACCUCUUGCAAUCAACAAACAGAUGCUGAAAGCACAUUCUGUGGGCAGCUGCAUCCUUGAACAUUGUCUGGAGCCUGCUCUAUUUUGAAAGAACUCUUUGCUGCAUGCUCUAGGGCACAGAUGGAGGCAGCAUCAUAGGUGGGUUAAGCAGUUACCUCCUCUUUGGCACAACCUGCUAAGCUAACCUGAGUACUCCCAACCAUUAUUCCACAAGCCUCUACCGAGUGCCUCCUGUAUGACAAGUGUCAUAGAACUCACAUCAACAGGAUGCAUUUCCUGGAGGCACAGUUCAAUAGAGAGCUGGGGGUGAAAAAAAAAGAGAGAAAAGAAAAAAUAAGAAAGCUAUAACAUUUGAGCUUGAAAUGUCACAGGGAGCCAAGGAAGUUGUCUGAUGGAUUGCCCUGUCAUCUCCAAGCCAAAAGAAAAAAAAUUUCAGAUCCAUCAAUUUGUUCCUGCCCUUUUAAUCCAAGCAAUACUUUACAGCAUCAGAAUGCAAAGAAAUUAUUUUCUUAGACGAAUCCUCAUGUGGACUGCUGAGCACUUAACCAGAAAACAGCAAGAGAGAACUGUAGGUUGUUCAAGUGUCUGCACAUCUGAUUGAUCCAGAUUGAAUGUACAAUAUACUGGAACACAUAUGAGAGCCUACUGGUGACAUAUGUUCAUUCAUUCAUCCAUGUGGAGUUGACAUCGCUUUGCCAUAGACAAUGAAUUUGAAGAGACACCUGUGUACAUGUGCACCAGCUGCCCAGGUUGAGGACUGCUCCUGCCUGCUCUGGACCUGCUCCUCCCUUUGGCUGGCUUUCCAAUUAGUGUAGACAUGUUCUCCCAUAUCCUAGCCUCUCUUUGGGCCACAUUUGAGGAUACCACCAACCAACCCUUGGAUCAAAUGCUUGGCUCUUGGGCUCAGACCCUGUAGGGAUAUAGCUUUAUUUGCAAAGUAGGCUGAAAGACUCCCUCUCUUGACAAGGAAAGCUGAUUGGCAGUAUGAAGAGUACACUGCAGAAGUUUUGAGGAGGACAAGCACUUACGAUGGCUUUACAGGGAUGGCUGCCCAAGUGAGAUAGAAUUUAACAUGACAAAAUGAAGGCACAGAGAAAUGAUAUAGCUUGCUCAAGGUCAUACAGAAGUGGUCGAUCUGGGAUUUGAACCCAUGUCAUCUGAUGGCAGAGCCUUCACAAGCCUGGCAUGUAUUGCUUGCUAGUGAUUCCAUAUCUACCUGUCUGUAAUUUCUGUCUAAUUCCAUUUUCUGUAGGAAUUCAAAUCAGUAAACAAAAAAUUUUUUGCAUCUUUUCAAAU
rnacentral:lncRNA from 10 species